UUUUUUUUUUUUUUGUCUAUUCAAGGGAGAUUUUUCAAUUAGGGGAUACUUUCAGAAACUUUCCGUGAGAUUUCUAACUAUUUCACUAGCCUCCCUCUAAAUUUUAAAAAUUACAUUAUCCUCUCUUGAGAUUUAUUAUCUUGUAACAUUUAGAUCCAACUAACAAUUAAAAAGUGUUAUUAAGAGAGAGAAAAUAAUAUAAUUUCACCAUUAUCCCUCAUCCAUUUACUGUUUAUCAUCAGGAAUGAAAUCACAUAUGAUAUAAAAAAUAGUGUAUCAUUCUGUGUAUUUCACUUAAUGUAAGAUCCAAAUUGCUCUUUUCAAUUACAAACUCAUUGUCAAACAUGAUCAACAACGAAUAAUAAAAAAAAUCUGUAACUAAAAUACUACAAAGAGCCAAUUUUAAUAUCAUAAAAAUCUCAGUAACUAAGUUUGAUAUGUUGACAAGAAUAUUUAUGAUAUUAAAGUUUGCUCUCUGUAAUAUUUUGAUCGCAAAUUUUUUAAUUAUUUGUUGUUAAUCAUGUUUGACAAUGGUUCUGUAAUUGAAAAGAGUAAUUUGAAUAUUGUAUUAACUAAAAAAAUAUAUAUAUAAUGGUAUACUAUUUUUUUUAUACUAUAUAUGACUUGAUCCCUAAUGAUAUACAACAAAUUUUAGUAUUUUUCUUUAAGGUGUGGGUUGAUAUUAAAUUAAUUAAAUAAUAUAGUAGAUGAGGGACAAUGAUAACAUUAUAUUAUUUACUCUCUCCUAAUAUUAUUUUUUAAUUAUUGAUUGGACCUAAAUAUUAUAAUAUAAAUAAUCUCAAGAAAAGUUAGUGUAAUUUUAAAAAAUAAGAGGGAGUCCAGUGAAAUAAUCAGAAACCUCAGCGAGGUUUCUAAAAUUAUGCCUAUAAUUAAAUCUUACAAUUGAUAGAGACAACUUUGAAAGUUGACGUUAUCUAAUACCUUUUAGGUUUCUGAAAUUAUGCCUAUAAUUAAAUCUUCCAAAUGAUAGAGACAACUUUGAAAGUUGACGUUAUCUAAUAGCUUUUAUUAACCACUCCCACACCAAUCCCCACCAAAAAAAAAAAAGGCAAACGAAGCGUAGUAGAUGGACAAAAGGAUUCUCUUCACAUUGUCGGCUACUCGUUGCAGUUUGGGCCUCAUAAAAUUGAAUCCCUGACUUUCCCUGGGCCAUCCCAUGUUGGUGUAGACCUAAACUUCUGUUUGUGCCUUCCUAUCACAGCCUCUCUAUUAUUCGGGCCAGAUAUCAGGGCAGGAGUACCAUCUAAAUAACCAUUCGCUGGUGUCCAAAAUGGGUACUAGGCCUGAUUAAUCUACGGGGGAUUUUAAAAAAGAUAAUUAUCAAUUCUUUUUAGCUCAUCAAUGUUAUGGGUUUGAAAUCCGUUCCCCUCCGAAAGUUAAUUUGCAUUUGGGUGGAGUGAAACUAAAUGAAAAUUUGAAUCUUGAAUGUUUAUGCGAUUUUUCAAGAUUCAAAAAGUUUUUCACCCUCCAACGAACGAAAAGAUUCAAGUUAAUAUAUGGCGCAAAGCCUUUUGAACAAAAAAAAUCACGAAAAAAAAUAAGAUCCGUUAUAUGAUAUUAUGAUAAUUUAUUAAUUUAUUGAUAAUUAAUGUCCAAAGAUUUAAUUCAGACGCUCGUUUAAUCCUUCUUUUAACAUGAUUUGAAUUUCUUGUAGCUAGAAGCCAAAAAAUAAUAAGGGAUUAAAGCAUUAAAUCUCCUAAAGUUUGGUGUCAUUUGCAUUUUAACCUCUAAAAACAACAUUAAAGAAAACUAACAUAAAGCUAGAAGCAUUUUACAAUUCACGUUUUUAAAAUUUUUAUAAAAAAAAAUCUUCUUUUUUUUUCGGUGUGUCUUUUUUAUAUAGCAAUUUUAUUUCAAUGACGAAACAAAAACAUCUUUUCCAUAAUUAAAAGCUUGAAUAUCUAAUUUACCUUCAUUUCUAGUAAUUAAAAGCCAAUGCAAAUGAAUAUCUAAUUUACCUUCACUUACAUGUCAAGUAUCAAAAAGUAAAUGUUCAAGAGAAAUGUUGAAUUGAUAGAUUGUAGUAAGAAAGAAAAUCAAGAGUCUUUCCAGAAGAAAAGUUAACUAAAGCAGGGGUAACUAAAACAGAUGCUAUUGAGUUGAAAAAUUGCCUCGCAAUGAAUCAGGGAAGUAGAAUUAUCAAGCAAUCAUCAAAGCAGACAAAACAAAGUAUCCAUUAUCAAAUCCCAUUAUGCACGAAAGUGAAACCACAAGUACAAACAAACAAACAAACAAACAAACUAGUUGCCAAACAGCAUGAAACACAAGCUAGCCAUCAGCCAAAACAGAAACGAGUCAGGCUAACCAUUAUCAUAUCCCAAUUUGCUUUUAUUACAGGAAUCUUUGGCCCUCCAGCAACAACCUCCUUGACAAAGUCCCAAGACAAUAGCUAG
rnacentral:lncRNA from 1 species